CGAACGGGUGAGUAACGCGUGAGGAACCUGCCUCAAAGAGGGGGACAACAGUUGGAAACGACUGCUAAUACCGCAUAAGCCCACGGCUCGGCAUCGAGCAGAGGGAAAAGGAGUGAUCCGCUUUGAGAUGGCCUCGCGUCCGAUUAGCUAGUUGGUGAGGUAACGGCCCACCAAGGCGACGAUCGGUAGCCGGACUGAGAGGUUGAACGGCUACAUUGGGACUGAGACACGGCCCAA
rnacentral:rRNA from 1 species